GCUCAGGUGGUGAAAUGGUAUCACGACACGUUGUGGAUUCCGCAGUUCCGUGUUAUUCUGAGUUCGAUUCUCAGCCUGGGCA